AGGAAAAAAUGGACACUAAGAGAAAGAAGAAAGCAGAGGCAAGAGGCUCCAGGCUUCACUAAUUCCUAGCGAGUAGAUUUAAUAUAAGAACAUCACUGUUCAUUUAUAGGUUUUUUUUUCCCAAGACAAAGAAUAUCUCUUGAUACUAUUAAAUAUAGAUGUCUGGACUGAAUUGAGCUUACACGACAAUUGCAGUCAAGAUUCUGCAACUCAGAACGGGCAAACCAGUCUGAAUCAAUUUACCCUGUGAUCCUGUCUGCUGGGAAGCAUUGAAAUAGUAAGGAAGUCUGAUGUGCCUGCAGGUUAAUCCAGCUGUCUGGGUCACCUAAGCAUCAAGGGUGGAAAGGGAGACUGGAAGUGCAAGUCUGAAAGGAGAAAAAAGAAGGUGAAACCAGUCUGCAGGAGAAAUGACUGGGAAUUUAGAAGGAGUGGGCACCCACAAGAGAAGAGAAGACACGAAGUGAGAAAAGGCUGCUGCUUGCCAAGGCACUUUUAAGAACGGGACAUCUUAUCACUUUUCAGUUGUUUGAGCUUCUUGCUCCCCAGACUUUCAGCUAAAAUUGUGGCUGUUUUGUUGGCGGAAAUCAGUGAAAAGAAAAUGAGUUCUGUGUCUAGUUCAGUUUACAGCAGAGGCAAGACGAUGCCUGAAGCAGGUGGCAAGGAGUGAAAGGGGAGUGUGCAUGGAAGCAGCAGGUCAGAGCCAGAGUUUAUCAUGAAAGUCUGAGCCCUCGCAAACAUGGUUCAUGCACAACCCAUAAAAUUUCAUCAAACUCUCAGUCUCAAAAAUUUGUGUAGGAAGAGCCUGACAUGAAUGCUGCAAAUACAUGAUUAUUAUUCCUAGACAUAUCUAAGGGCAUCUAAAAUUAUAAAAUUUAUAGUGAUAUUGCUUAAAUUACAUUUUUGAAUAUCUCACUCAUACAUGUAUUACCUAUAUUAUUAUACUGUUAAUUAUACCUUCAUUGAUUUUUUUUAAAUUUUAUUCUUUUGUUUUAAGUUUAGAUGUGGAUGCAUUUUCUAAAAACUACAAGAUUACCCAAACAGAACCGAUUGAAUUUCAAGGUUAGGAAGUUUUUCUAAUAAUAAUUUAUGGUCCAAGUAUAAUGUGAUGAAGUGUGCUUGUAGGUACCAACCUGAGACUAUAUUUGGCAAGAGUUGAAUAAAAUAUGGGGGAAAUGAUUUCUAGCCUUGUUAGAAAUGCCCUCAGAAUGCAUUGUUAUUUCUAAAGAAUGCUGCAUUGUAUAUAUGCAGAUAUUUUUCAGCCAAAUCGCUGAAUUUGUAGAGAUUUCAUAUCACAUAAGAUUUGUUUCCAAUGCAUUUUCUUCUGAAACUAUAAGAAGACUAGCUUCUCUCUUAAUUUCUAAGAAAAAUGUUAUAAACCUUUAUUAUGAUGGUACAAUUUAUGAAACAAUGUAAAUUUUACAUUUUCACUUUUGAGAGUUAUUUUUCCCCAAGCCUCUGCCUUUUUUGAGUAUUUGCAAAGCUCUGCAAAUGACAGGCGCAUCCACAAUGCAAAGAAUAAUCUUCCUUUGGGGCUGUUCCUGGGGUAGUGAUUAGUAGCGUCUUCACUGAAUAUUUAACUUCCUCAAAACUGCUUAUCUGUGCUGUGGAUCAGUGCAAGAUCUGGGUGAGCUGUUGCUACUUUACAUAAUUAAGUUUCUCUUGCCAAAAAAAGAGAAAGUAACAAAAUAUGAAGCAAAAGAAGCCGAAAGUUGGACUUUUAAAACAUUCUCCCUUCAUGUUAUUUUCUCAUUGAAAAUAACCUGAAACAAAAGCAAAAUAUUUGAGAUUUAGGAGGGAGUUUAUGCAGAUCAGUCAGGUUGACAGCUCACAUUUUCUUGCAAAACUCUUAGGAAUUUUCCUCCGCAAAUCCCUCCGCAGUCAGUGAUAAGUACUAAAUGCCACAAAGAAAACAAUUUCCCAUUGUUCAAAAACUGACUGGUGAAGUAUUGUGGGUGAGGCAAAAAAGAGGGUAGGGAGAGAAAUUCUAUUGUAGGGAAACUAAUGCCAGACAGAGCUAUUAACUCAAAUGUACUGAAAUGAUAGAUAAUUCAAGCUUCUCAUGUCACUUUAAAUUAGUAAAAAAUCACUGCACAGGAUUUGUGCUUAAUCCCAUUUUUUAUAUGUAGAAAAUAGGCCCCAGAAUUAGGUUGACGUGUACUUUUAAUGUGUAGAUAGGACAUCUACUCACUUUCUAGGCAUGUGUGGAUGAAAAAGACUUUGCUUGCUUAGUUGCACGUCAUUCUUAGUUCCUUCUCUUUUGAGUGUGCUAGCGUACCCAAUGGAAUCCCCUCCCCUGUAUUUAUUGAACGCUAUAAUGUAUGGGGGUGUCUUUUCCUGGUUAGUGUAAUAGGAAAAAUUGCAUUUGCUUAUCUAUUGCAAAUGAAAAUCAUCUGGGGAAUAUAAAAAGCAUUUUCAAUUCUGCUACCAUUAUUUCAGAAGCAAUCAAAUGCAGAGGAAUGAAAGUCAAACACGGAGAAAAAUGCUGAUGGAUUGGGCAAUGUGCAUGGCUCUCUGGGACCAUCAUUAUUUCAGUAUUCAAGAGGAAAAUGCACAUUUGAAAGAUGGUAAAUUCCAUCACAUACAAUCAAUCAUUCAUCUCCUCUAGCAACAAUAAUUGUGGAGGAGAUAGUGUUCAGACAUUAACUAGGUAGUCAUCCCUGCUUGUUUGUUAGUUUGUUUCAAGGCAUACUAAAUCUUAUGCAACGUUAUGUGGACAUCUCAGAUGAUUUUCAGAUAUUGGUACUUAGUACCAAUCACCUGCAAAUAAUGAGGUCAAAGUAAACACUGCAACCUCAAAGGGCAAGAUGCUUAGCAUUGUCUUUCAUCUAAAACAUUUUGUCCUUUCAUUCCAGAUUUUAAAAAUAGGUUAUCUGCCUGCAUUUUAUGCAUUUUUCUAUCUUUAUAAUCUGAAGGUGAUUUUAUUAAUACAGUAAAUCUUGGUCAAGUGAUACUUUAGGAAGAUGCUUUUUCUGGGUAAACUAAAAGCCUGACGUGGCUCUUCCUGAUGUUCUUAAAUAUUUUAUUAGCAAUGUCUCUCCUCACCCCUUGCCUAUUCAUAGUCUCUUUCAGUUUAAUGAUAUAAAGCAGGUGGUAGGGUUGUCAAAACUGGGUUUCCAUUAGAAACAAUCUCUGGGAAUGUGGUGUAUUUUCUCCCUUAUUUUUCUCAUUAUUAGAUAUCUCAGGCUCAAAGGCCCAUAUGGCAGUUUGGAGAAAGAUAUGUCCUGUUCAAAACCAAUGUUCUGAGAGUUUGAGAGCCGUGAAAUCAGAUAUCAUAGUUUUUACACUUUUUCAAAGCUUUCAAUUGUGAAUUCUGGAUUUCUCUUUUUCUUUCGAACUCUGAAAAAAGCCCAAUCUCUAACAGCACCUCCCCUCCCACCCCCUUCUGGUACUGGCUGUAGCAGUACUUAGGAAGGGAAGAGUGUCUUACAGGAGGUGGAGACACAUUUAUACACCAGUCUUCAUGCUUGGGAAAAAGCGAUUUAGUCACUGUUAACUUCUUUAAUUAUUGAUGGUUCAGAAAAUGUUAUCUUUCUUAUCUUUUAUUUGUAACACUUUUCCCUAAAUAAAAGUGAGGCUGGAUAUUCAAAUUAUUAUUUAGUGCAAGAAACUAAAAAUAGCUUUCCCUCUUUUUAGAUUUUUUUUGACAACAGAGAUGAUACAUUAUAUGUGUAUAUUUUACCUUAAUAAAAAGACUUAAAAAAAAAGAAAAUUAAAGAGAAAAAUAGAAAGAAAGGUAGGAAAGGCAUAGAAGGGGAUAUGACACUUUAGAAUCUCCUAGCUUAGAAUGUGACAGAAGGAGAGUGUUAGUAAAACUGAGGAGGCUGGGUGCGGUAGCUCACGCCUGUAAUCCUAGCAAUUUGGGAGGACGAGGUGGGCUGAUCACUUGAGGUGAGGAGUUUAAGACCAGCCUGGCUAACAUGGUGAAACCCCAUCUCUACUAAAAAUACAA
rnacentral:lncRNA from 1 species